rnacentral:rRNA from 1 species
AUGCACGCUGGCGGCGUGCCUCAUCCCUGCCAGUCGCGCGAACAGACGAGGAGCUUGCUCCUCUGACGUUAGCGGCGGCCGGGUGAGUAACACGUGGAUAACCUACCUAUAAGACUGGGAUAACUUCGGGAAACCGGAGCUAAUACCGGAUAAUAUAUUGAACCGCAUGGUUCAAUAGUGAAAGACGGCUUUGCUGUCACUUAUAGAUGGAUCCGCGCCGCAUUAGCUAGUUGGUAAGGUAACGGCUUACCAAGGCAACGAUGCGUAGCCGACCUGAGAGGGUGAUCGGCCACACUGGAACUGAGACACGGUCCAGACUCCUACGGGAGGCAGCAGUAGGGAAUCUUCCGCAAUGGGCGAAAGCUUGACGGAGCAACGCCGCGUGAGUGAUGAAGGUCUUCGGAUCGUAAAACUCUGUUAUUAGGGAAGAACAAAUGUGUAAGUAACUAUGCACGUCUUGACGGUACCUAAUCAGAAAGCCACGGCUAACUACGUG